rnacentral:rRNA from 1 species
UCGGGAAUUUUGGGCAAUGGGCGAAAGCCUGACCCAGCAACGCCGCGUGAAGGAUGAAGUAUUUCGGUAUGUAAACUUCGAAAGAAUAGGAAGAAUAAAUGACGGUACUAUUUAUAAGGUCCGGCUAACUACGUGCCAGCAGCCGCGGUAAUACGUAGGGACCAAGCGUUGUUCGGAUUUACUGGGCGUAAAGGGCGCGUAGGCGGCAUGACAAGUCACUUGUGAAAUCUCUGGGCUUAACCCAGAACGGCCAAGUGGUACUGUCGCGCUAGAGUGCAGAAGGGGCAAUCGGAAUUCUUGGUGUAGCGGUGAAAUGCGUAGAUAUCAAGAGGAACACCUGAGGCGAAGGCGGGUUGCUGGGCUGAUACUGACGCUGAGGCGCGAAAGCUAGGGUAGCAAACGGGAUUAGAUACCCACGUAGUCCCUGAGCGGGCUGGCAAGGCGCAU